UACGUAGGUCCCGAGCGUUGUCCGGAUUUAUUGGGCGUAAAGAGCGCGCAGGCGGUCGUUCAAGUCGCGUGUGAAAGCCCCCGGCUCAACUGGGGAGGGUCACGCGAUACUGAUCGACUCGAAGGCAGGAGAGGGUAGUGGAAUUCCCGGUGUAGUGGUGAAAUGCGUAGAUAUCGGGAGGAACACCAGUGGCGAAGGCGACUACCUGGCCUGUUCUUGACGCUGAGGCGCGAAAGCUAGGGGAGCAAACGGG
rnacentral:rRNA from 1 species